AAUUGUGUUUCUUACAACUACCGUGUAUCCAGGAUACACCUCCAUAAUUUGUAGCAGGCUGUGAAGGGAAACUGGGGUGAGGGAACAUGCCUUUGUGUGCUUAACAAUAAAUCUGGGGCCUGAGUGGAUCUACACUUUCAGUGUGCAGUCUUUGAAGUCGAGUUUAAAGUCAAAUGUGUCCUUCAAUUAAUUUUUCUUCUCCUCAUACAGUAGCUGCUCUCAUUGUUGCUGGCGUUGGUGGCCUCAUUUACAAAAAAAGGCUUUGCAACUGUCGAAGAGGGCAGGACAGGGGCCGUCGCCAAGGGAACAACCGGGUGCCUCCUCAUGACGCUGAGGAUCGUGAUGAGAUCACCAUCGAGAUACAGCCUCUUAAGGGAGAAGUUCCAAAUGGAAACGUUAACGGGGUCCAUCGAGAGGAUGACAGCGUUGGGACUGCAGGGUUACUUGGACAUUGCGACGAUUCUCCUGUGUGACCCGCUGAUGGUGGGAAAUGGCUCUGCAUCUUGCAGUACUGGACCUGAUUUCUGUCAUUUUUCCAGUCUGUUUGCCACAGGCACGGCU